UACAGAGGUCUCAAGCGUUGUUCGGAUUCAUUGGGCGUAAAGGGUGCGUAGGUGGCGCCGUAAGUCAGGUGUGAAAUUUCGGAGCUUAACUCCGAAACUGCAUUUGAUACUGCGGUGCUUGAGGACUGGAGAGGAGACUGGAAUUCACGGUGUAGCAGUGAAAUGCGUAGAUAUCGUGAGGAAGACCAGUGGCGAAGGCGGGUCUCUGGACAGUUCCUGACACUGAGGCAGCGAAGGCCAGGGGAGCAAACGGG
rnacentral:rRNA from 1 species